UUGUUGAGGAAGAAAUAUGAUAUUUUCUACCACUAGGUUUUUCCAAAGUAUUGAAAAUAUUCUAAAAUUAUUACUAUUAUAUUCGAGCGUUUUCAAUAAAUAUAUUUCAUUUUCGUGAAUAUUAAGAAUUUUAAGUUCAAGCUGAGGCUUAAAUUAAAAUAAUUUUCACCUCCUUGUUCAUAACUAAAACUAAUAAAUCAAAUUCGUUAUAAGUAAGGAAAGAAAUUUUGACGGAAUCUUCCGCACCAUGGACAUCAUUCAAUUCAUUUCAUGACCUGGUAAGAUAUAGGAAAGGAUAAUAAUAAUAAUAACUGAUCUUUAUUUUUAUUGAUAACUAGUUAUCAAAGGGCAAUCGACCGAGAUCCUUAGGAAAGGAUAAAUGAACUAAAAGGCCGAGGAAAAGGCACACAUUAUUAAAAUAAAAUAUUUUAUUAAAUGGCAACAAUUGUAAGUAAAACAAACAUUGAAACAAAUUGUAAUCUUCCUUGUGAUCAUAGCCAGACAAAACGAAUUCAAAAUUGUCAAAUUUCCAAAAUUUACUCCCAUUUCAAUAUGGCAUUACAUAUAAUCACAUACGUAUCUGUCAAGUGUCAAACGAAAUCUAACAAAAAUAUGGCAAUUCUAAGAAUCCACAUUCAAAUCCAACCAGCCGUCCAUCAAAGAAUAA